UACGUAGGGCGCAAGCGUUGUCCGGAAUUAUUGGGCGUAAAGAGCUCGUAGGCGGCUUGUCACGUCGGGUGUGAAAGCCCGGGGCUUAACCCCGGGUCCGCAUUCGAUACGGGCUAGCUAGAGUGUGGUAGGGGAGAUCGGAAUUCCUGGUGUAGCGGUGAAAUGCGCAGAUAUCAGGAGGAACACCGGUGGCGAAGGCGGAUCUCUGGGCCAUUACUGACGCUGAGGAGCGAAAGCGUGGGGAGCGAACAGG
rnacentral:rRNA from 1 species